UUGGGCAGUGUGUUUUGUUUUCAGAGAGGACUCAUAAAUAAGCUGGCUGUAGAGGACUCUGGAGACAGUGUUAAGGAGGAGACACCAUAAGCUCUGUCCUCCUGUCCUUUCUUACCACACCAUGUGGAAGAACAGAUAUGCUCAGCUGUACCUUUUUUCAGUUCUUCUUGCCUUCCUGCCUUCUGCAUCUUCACUCAAUGGAGACCCGAAGUAUAUGGUGCUGGUCCCUUCUCAGCUCUACACUGAGACCCCUGAGAAAAUCUGCUUCCAUCUAUACCAUCUGAAUGAGACAGUGACCGUCACAGCUUCCUUGGUGUCUCAAUCAAGAUGGAGAAACCUGUUCGAUGAGCAUAUCACAGAUUUCUUGGUAUCUCAAUUGGAAAGGAGAAACCUGUUCGAUGAGCUUGUGGUUGACAAGGACUUGUUCCAAUGUGUUUCCUUCAUUAUCCCUACACUCAACUCUCCUGAUGAGGAGGAGUUUCUCUACGUGGACAUCAAAGGGCCAACCCACGAAUUCAGCAAAAGGAAAGCAGUGCUUGUGAAGAACAAAGAAAGUGUUGUCUUUGUCCAGACAGAUAAGCCCGUGUACAAACCAGGACAAUCAGUUAAAUUUCGGGUUGUCUCUAUGGAUAAAACUCUACACCCCCUGAAUGAGUUGCUCCCUCUGGCUUACAUUGAGGAUCCGAAAAAGAACCGAAUUAUGCAGUGGAGGGAUAUUAAGACUGAGAAUGGGCUUAAGCAAAUGUCCUUCAGCCUGGCAGCAGAGCCCAUUCAGGGCCCCUACAAGAUAGUGGUGCACAAACAGUCAGGGGAGAUGGAAGAACACUCCUUUACUGUGUUGGAAUUUGUGCUUCCCAGAUUUAAUGUCGACCUGAAGGUUCCAAAUGCCAUCUCUGUGAAUGAUGAAGUGCUCCAAGUGACUGCAUGUGGGAAAUAUACCUAUGGGAAGCCUGUUCCAGGACAGGUGAAGAUAAGUAUCUGCCAUGAGACUGAAGCUGGAUGCAAAGAAGUCAAUUCCAAGCUUGAGUCUUCCUUGUUUCCCUGUGGACUCAUUUUCUUAUUUGAAACCGGUAAAGAAUUUUCCUGUGACACUUCUAUAUAUUUACAUAGUGAACUUGGACCAUAUUCUGAUCUAUAACAUUGCAGAAGGCCCUGGAAUAGGCCUGAAAGCCUAUCCGUUUUGUUAAGAUUUCAGCUAUAUAUCCAGGGCUCUACUUAGGCUCACCUUACCUCUGGAACUGGCUUGUUGUAGACGAGCAACCCUAAGUCCAUUUUACAUAUCAAAAAAAGACAAAAUUCAUUUUUUGGCUGAUCAUGGACCUCUGUUCUUGACCUCAUUAUAUGAUUGUUGUUGAUCACUUUGUGUGUCGAAUUAUCCUAAUAUCCCAUGCUUAACCCAACAUGAACAUGAAACACCAUCUCUAUCAUGUGUUGAACUACCAAGUAAUCUCAUAACAGAUGUACAUGUGAAUCUGCAAGGAUAUUUGUACAUGCAUAUAUGUCUGUGUGUGUGUGUGUAUAGGUGUGUACGUGAACAUGUAUACAGAUAUUGCUAUGGCUCCUACACCAGAGUAAUACUGGCUUUUUGGGUUUUUUAGAAUGAUUUUUCCUUAUCCCUUUGGUGAAGAAGAUUGAACAUUCUUCAUGACAUUUUACAGCCAGUGGGUCAGAUCCAUCAAUCUGAUGGUCUAGGCUUUCUUUGUUAGAGGAGAUUAUAUCACCUAUUUCCAUCUUUUCCCUCUGUUGAUCUCUUCAUAUAUUUUGUAACAUCCAGAAUUUAUCAUCACACCCAUGGAUUAGAAGUGGAAUGGCAGCAGGUGGUUCAUAUUAGAUAAUGUCUGAAUAGUUUUUUGGAUGUCUGUUUUAUGAAGUGAGAAAUAUUUUUCUUUCAGGAUAGUCAACACUCUGGAAUACAAGUUUGGUUCAUAACUGUUAGGGUUCAAAUGGAUUCUAACUUGUCUAUUCUGUGUCUCUCAUUUUAAUAAUUUGUGUCUUCUAAGUGAUUAACACCAAGGGUUUGCCAGAUUUGUUUGUCCUAUCAAAUUUCCAGGUCUUUGUUUCUGUGAUCUUUGUAUCAUCUUAUAUAUGUCUGCUUAUUUCAAGCUCUGCUCUUACUUAUGCUUUGCAUAACUGCUUUGGGGUUUGGGUUGUGUGAUUUGUUGUUGCUUUUAAUCUCUGAACACAAGAUGUAUCAUUAGGAUGCUUGAGAUAUGUGUGAUUUUCAUGAAACUGAUAGGCAUAAACUUGUCUCCUCAACCU
rnacentral:lncRNA from 1 species